rnacentral:sRNA from 1 species
GUCCCUAUGAGGAAGCAAUCCCUUUAGAUAGGAAGUGCCGUAUGACACUUUAUCAGCAGCGGAUCGCUCACGUACCCACGUUUUCCUUCCACCAAUCGCAACCCAUCAGAAGCGUUUCCUUUCCGGUAAUCGUUCUCUCUGGGUUUGCUGAUUGGUCGGGAUCGCGUGGACUACUAUGCUUCGCUGUGUGUGUGAUUUGGAACGGGUCUCUGAGGGUU